UACGUAGGGGGCUAGCGUUGUCCGGAAUCAUUGGGCGUAAAGCGCGUGUAGGCGGUUCGGUAAGUCCGCUGUGAAAGUCGGGGGCUCAACCCUCGAAAGCCGGUGGAUACUGUCGGGCUAGAGUACGGAAGAGGCAAGUGGAAUUCCUGGUGUAGCGGUGGAAUGCGCAGAUAUCAGGAGGAACACCCAUAGCGAAGGCAGCUUGCUGGGACGUUACUGACGCUAAGGCGCGAAAGCGUGGGGAGCGAACAGG
rnacentral:rRNA from 1 species